GAGUUUGAUCCUGGCUCAGAUUGAACGCUGGCGGCAGGCCUAACACAUGCAAGUCGAGCGGAUGACGGGAGCUUGCUCCUUGAUUCAGCGGCGGACGGGUGAGUAAUGCCUAGGAAUCUGCCUGGUAGUGGGGGACAACGUUUCGAAAGGAACGCUAAUACCGCAUACGUCCUACGGGAGAAAGCAGGGGACCUUCGGGCCUUGCGCUAUCAGAUGAGCCUAGGUCGGAUUAGCUAGUUGGUGGGGUAAUGGCUCACCAAGGCGACGAUCCGUAACUGGUCUGAGAGGAUGAUCAGUCACACUGGAACUGAGACACGGUCCAGACUCCUACGGGAGGCAGCAGUGGGGAAUAUUGGACAAUGGGCGAAAGCCUGAUCCAGCCCAUGCCGCGUGUGUGAAGAAGGUCUUCGGAUUGUAAAGCACUUUAAGUUGGGAGGAAGGGCAGUAAGUUAAUACCUUGCUGUUUUGACGUUACCGACAGAAUAAGCACCGGCUAACUCUGUGCCAGCCGCCG
rnacentral:rRNA from 1 species